rnacentral:rRNA from 1 species
UGGGGAAUCUUGCGCAAUGCGCGAAAGCGUGACGCAGCAACGCCGCGUGGGGGAAGAAGGUCUUCGGAUUGUAAACCCCUUUCAGUUGGGACGAAGCUUCGAGGGUUAAUAGCCCUCUGGAGUGACGGUACCUUCAGAAGAAGCCCCGGCUAACUACGUGCCAGCAGCCGCGGUAAUACGUAGGGGGCAAGCGUUGUCCGGAAUCAUUGGGCGUAAAGCGCGUGUAGGCGGUCCGGUAAGUCCGCUGUAAAAGUCGGGGGCUCAACCCUCGGAUGCCGGUGGAUACUGUCGGGCUUGAGUACGGAAGAGGCGAGUGGAAUUCCUGGUGUAGCGGUGAAAUGCGCAGAUAUCAGGAGGAACACCAAUUGCGAAGGCAGCUCGCUGGGACGUUACUGACGCUGAGACGCGAAAGCGUGGGGAGCAAACAG